GACGAACGCUGGCGGCGUGCUUAACACAUGCAAGUCGAACGGAAAGGCCCUGCUCUUGUGGGGUGCUCGAGUGGCGAACGGGUGAGUAACACGUGAGUAACCUGCCCCUGACUUUGGGAUAACUUCAGGAAACUGGGGCUAAUACCGGAUAGGAGCUCCUGCUGCAUGGUGGGGGUUGGAAAGUUUCGGCGGUUGGGGAUGGACUGGCGGCUUAUCAGCUUGUUGGUGGGGUAGUGGCUUACCAAGGCUUUGACGGGUAGCCGGCAUGAGAGGGGUAACGGCCACAUGAGGACUGAGGUACGGCCCAGAAUCCUACGGGAGGCAGCAGUGGGGAAUAUUGCACAGUGGGGGGAAGCCUGAUGCAGCAACGCCGCGUGCGUGAUGACGGCCUUCGGGUUGUGAACCGCUUUCGCCUGUGACGAAGAGUGAGUGACGGUAAUGGGUAAAGAAGCACCGGCUAACUACGUG
rnacentral:rRNA from 1 species